rnacentral:rRNA from 1 species
CAGCAGCAGCCGCGGGAAUACGAAGGGGGCUAGCGUUGUUCGGAUUUACUGGGCGUAAAGGGCGCGUAGGCGGACUGAUAAGUCAGGGGUGAAAUCCCAAGGCUCAACCUUGGAACUGCCUUUGAUACUGUUUGUCUUGAGUUCGAGAGAGGUAAGUGGAACUGCGAGUGUAGAGGUGAAAUUCGUAGAUAUUCGCAAGAACACCAGUGGCGAAGGCGGCUUACUGGCUCGAAACUGACGCUGAGGCGCGAAAGCGUGGGGAGCAAACAGGAUUAGAUACCCCUGUAGUCCCUGUCUCUUAUAC